UACGGAGGGUGCAAACGUUGCUCGGAAUCAUUGGGCGUAAAGCGCACGUAGGCGGCCGAUUAAGUCGGAUGUGAAAGCCCUGGGCUCAACCCAGGAAGUGCAUUCGAAACUGAUCGGCUUGAAUAUGGAAGAGGGUCGCGGAAUUCCCGGUGUAGAGGUGAAAUUCGUAGAUAUCGGGAGGAACACCAGUGGCGAAGGCGGCGACCUGGGCCAAUAUUGACGCUGAGGUGCGAAAGCUAGGGGAGCAAACAGG
rnacentral:rRNA from 1 species